rnacentral:rRNA from 1 species
UACGAAGGGGGCUAGCGUUGCUCGGAAUCACUGGGCGUAAAGCGCACGUAGGCGGAUUGUUAAGUCAGGGGUGAAAUCCUGGAGCUCAACUCCAGAACUGCCUUUGAUACUGGCGAUCUUGAGUCCGGGAGAGGUGAGUGGAACUCCGAGUGUAGAGGUGAAAUUCGUAGAUAUUAGGAAGAACACCAGUGGCGAAGGCGGCUCACUGGCCCGGUACUGACGCUGAGGCGCGAAAGCGUGGGGAGCAAACAGG